UACGGAGGGUCCGAGCGUUAUCCGGAAUUAUUGGGUUUAAAGGGUCCGUAGGCGGGCAUUAAGUCAGUGGUGAAAGUCUGCGCUCAACUAUAGAAUUGCCUUUGAUACUGUUGUCUUGAGUUAUAGUGAAGUUGCCGGAAUAUGUAGUGUAGCGGUGAAAUGCAUAGAUAUUACAUAGAAUACCGAUUGCGAAGGCAGAUCACUAACAAUGUAUUGACGCUGAUGGACGAAAGCGUGGGUAGCGAACAGG
rnacentral:rRNA from 1 species